rnacentral:rRNA from 1 species
GGAAAUCUCACCAGGCCCGGACACCGGAAGGAUUGACAGAUUGAGAGCUCUUUCUCGAUUCGGUGGGUGGUGGUGCAUGGCCGUUCUUAGUUGGUGGAGUGAUUUGUCUGGUUAAUUCCGAUAACGAACGAGACUCUGUCCUGCUAAAUAGUGUCAGCCUCUCUUUUGGGCUGACAAUUCUUCUUAGAGGGACUGGCGGCACCUAGCCGCACGAAAUAGAGCAAUAA